AUGGGGCUCUUCAGAAAUAUACCCAGUGCUAAGAAUAGCACAGGGUUCUGCAAAUCCAGGUACCAGGGAUUCCUUUGUCCUAUAUUUAAAGCCUACAGACCACUGAAGUGCAGAGGUGCAUUAUAUAUAAGCAUAUGUGUGGUUAUAAUAAUUUGCAUGACUUUAAUCUUAACCACUGAAGCUUAUACUUGGUUCACCCACUGUUAUGCUGGCAAAAAAAAAACCCCAAAACAACAACUUUUAACUAUUGUGACAGUCAGAAUUACUUUUUCCUUCAUUUUUAAUUUUUUUAAAAUUGUUUUCAGAUUGUUCUCCUUGUGCUACUUGAGAGAAACUGCAAUCCCAGGCUUAACAGAACCUAAAAAUGGUUUAUCAACCAGGUUCAAUGACUUGGGUAAAGCAGAAGAUCUUUCCAACCAGCCGUGGGGAUGGGGGAUUUCCAAAGGGAAAUCCCCCUAUCUCAAAGGAAGUGAAUCGCAAGAAAAGUGAGGUGGAGGGGACAUCCCUGGCUCCAGCAAGUGGCCAUGGACAACAUUUCACCAAAAUCAAUUACCUCUACUCUUUUUAAACAUUAUUUCUCCAUUCAUAUUACAUAUGGUGUAUGGGUUUGAUGAGGUCAUGGUGUCAUAUAUUGGAAAUUGUUUCUGUGUAAAUCAUCAAGUGUAAGAAGAAACUACGGGACUCUGAGCCUUGCUUUAGAGAAUAACAAUGGACAAACAUGUACCAUAAAAAAUAGUUUUUAACAUUCUAACUCAAGCGAAAGCUCUCAGAAUUUCACACUGUGAAUCCAUGUUUACAAACAUUACAGGUGGGCCCUCAGGCCUGGUUCUACCACAGCAAUGUCUUUCACUACUCAAACUCCACAGCUCACACACAACCGGUAAACCACUCUCUCCAUUUCCAACAACCCAAACUGCUUCUUGCAGAGGCUGAGAGUCCCCCUUUUUUUUCAUUUAGAUGUAACAAGCCUAGUAGUUUAUUUUCAUUGAUGGUCUGUAUAUCUCUAUAUUUUAUCCAUGUACUCUUUUGAUGUAUAGAAGUAGUAUGAAACUCAUGGUUUCCUUGUGGUAAGUGAUCGUGAUGCUGCCACGGGAUUUGAGACACUGAUGAAUGGUGCUAUUUUGGACUUUAAAUAUGCUCCUUGGCAAGGUAGCUCUGAUGGAGUUAUUUUUUAUUUCCAUGUUCUGAGAGGGUGUUGGUACUUUGUUUUUCUGAAUGUUGUUCUUUAGACUGGACUGACUUGUUUACUUGUGUCUUCAGUGUGGCUUUCUUAUUCAGUGCUGUAGGUGAGUAACUACUUAUAGUGUACAAGUGAGGAACUGAUUCCCUAUCAGUGUCCACUCACAAACAUGCAGUUAUAGUGGGAGCAAUCACAAAACUGUAAUUUUCGUAAAAUCUCCUUUCUGACUCCUAUCCACCUUAUGGAGAAAGAUGAGCAAUAAUUUUCCACCAACUUCUCAAAAUCUCUUGAUUUUUGUCUUUUUUUCUUACAAGCCUUUUUUAAAGAAGGGACAAGUUUUAAUGUCCUCUUCAAAUCCAUAAACUAGGGGAUAUAGUAAGAAAAAUACAGCAAAUUUCUGGGAAGAGAAGUCCUAAAGGGGAAAGAGUACAUUUCCACAAUACUGUCAACAUGUGGACUUUACAUUUUUGUUCUUGCUCCCAAUCUACUAUAAAUACAAAAUAACACAAACCACAAAACUAAGCAGUAUCAUCUACUCAUGGAGUGUUGUUGUGUUAGACACAGUCUGAAAGCCCACCUUAAUUUUUUAUAUAAUUCUGUCUUUUAGCUAUUCCUUUUACAGGGCAGGCCUUGUUCUGAACUGUCUUAGCUUCUGACUGUUAAAAACCAAUGCAUGCACUGCACUUCUAGAUUUCUUUCCUUUCCCUACCUUCUGUGUCCCUUUCCUUGUACACUUUCUUUUCCAAUAGAAUAGAUAUGUCUGCUGUGCUGUAUAUAGAGCAAGAAGUAAUAUUCAACAGUUGUGGCAUUUAUGUAUAGGUGCAGCUGUGUACUGCUGAAAAUGCAGGCUUUUGUAACAAUGUGAUCUUUAAUAAUGCAAGUACCCAAUGUAUUUUAGCUAUUUUAGUAGGUUUUGUUCAAUAAAUAUGCAAGCUCUAAGGGUGGCUGUGACGUG
rnacentral:lncRNA from 1 species